GACAGCAUCGUGGAGGAGAGGAGGAUCAGCUGCACGACUGCCUGAACAUCGCUGGACUGCAGGACUGAAACCCUAUAAUCUACCAGCAGUAGCAGCACAUUUGACAAUGCAAGGUUGAUUUACAAUCGUUUCCUGCAAGAAACAGUAUAAAAACACUGACAACACCGGCAUCUUCCAACCAACAGCUUGUUGGCUUCUCUUGACUUCUACAUCUCAGAGAUCUAGAUUCAUCAGUAUCUUUUCAAGAUGUCCAGUAAUGCCUCUUCAAUUAAGGAACCAAAACCUAUCAAAAUUAGACUGCCGUUUCCAGUUAAGAUUACUGAUGUGGUCUUCAAUGUCAACCUUUUUAGGAAGUGAUUAUGAGAGAAUAUUCUUCCUCAGAAAGACAUGUUGAUGGCUUUCUAGGUGUCCUAGCACUGACUUGCUUAACUUAGAUCAUCAAGAAAAACAAUGGAAAUCAUAUCUGAAAACACUCUUUAAAAGUUUGAAUAUUGCUUUGCAAGUGUCAGCCAUUUUGGUAUGUUAGGUGAACAGUUGCAUUCAUUUUGUUUUUUUCUUAAGGGAAAAUGCAUGGUUUCUUCUGCUGUACUGAAUAAUUAGAAUACAAAUUAUGUCACCAAUGUAUUUCUUCCCAUUAAA